rnacentral:tRNA from 1 species
GAGGUCGUGGCCGAGUGGUUAAGGCGUCCGACUUAAAAUCGGAUUCCCUAUGGGAGCGUGGGUUCGAACCCCACCGACUUCG